GUAGGGGGAACCGCAUGGCCAGUGGCCAGAGAAAAUUUUCCCAUAAUUCCCUUGGGCUUGGACUCAGGCUAUUGUAGAAUCUAUAGAAUGGGCACUCUGUGGCCAAAGUUCUGGGCUCUUGUUCCUUAUCCACUCCUGGCUGUGUGAAUUUGGGCAAGUCUGUAAUCUCUCUGAAUCACACUUUCCCAGAGAGGAUCACCUGUACCUCCCAGGUGUGUGGUGAGGAUGAAGGAGAAUGUGUCUGUAAAGCUACUGGAGGAGAAAUCCUGAAUAAAAACGCUGUUGCCAUAACAAUGCUCUCUGUCAGGGCCUGGUUGGGAUCACAAAGAUGAUACAGGAUUUUAGAGGAAGCUUUAAGACCCCCAAUGAAGUCACAGACUGAGAAAGUCUGGAUGAGGGAGCCUGACUGCAGCUGAAGAACAUCAGGUACUUGGAGAAGAGAAUCACUGGGCAGUGGAGAGUGAAUGUGGACCGGAAGAGUCCCAAAGGCAGCCUGAGCUCUGUUAGCUACAGUAUAGGACCGACCUUGGUUCUGAGACUCAGGGGAGGGAAGGAAGCACUUAGGCCACAUUAGUACAUAUCGACCCAGAGCCCUAGGCAGGAGCAGGAGUGGGUGAAAUUUUAGGCCUGAGUAUAUAUAUUUCCAGGCCAGAUAAAGAUAUCACCCUACUCCUCUCCACUCCCUUUUCCUCCUUGUCUCCACCCCCCUGUUCUGGAAAUAUAAAGCAGAAAGCCAUCAGUUGUGAAGAGGAAAGCAGCUAGGUCUCUGGAAUGGGAAGGUUGGGCUAGAGUUUGGGGGCUAGAUGACUUCUAAAGUCCCUUUCCAACUCAGAUGCUAUGAUUCUAUGAACCCUGGGAAGGAGGACUAUGAUCAUGCUCACAAACUGUUUGUUCACUACCCCCAGACAGAAGAUUUAAAAAAGGGGAGAGAGACAAGAGAAAGAGAAACAAGAGUCACACAGAGAGAAGAGAGUCAGAGAUUCAGAAAGAGACAGAGACAGAGAGACAGAGAAGGAAAGAAAGAAGCAAAUGGAACUCUAGAGCUCAGACCAAGGAGCCAAUUAGAAAGGAAGGGAUUUUUAAGAGGCCCUGGCUUAGAGCAUAAAAUCAAAUGGAUGGAGGUUUUGAGCUGUCACCUAGUCCAGACUCCUGCCUCGACAUACAAUGAAAACAGACAGCUGAAUUUCUGCUUUGCUUUUAAAGAACUCUGGAAAUUGAUAACCUGCCCCAGUGAUCAAUUCUUAUUGCUGAAUGGAACACCAUCCUUGGUAGUUGCUCAACAUAGUCAAACUGGUAGCUGCGCAAUGGGUCAUGAAGAGUAACCAAUCCUGUUCCUCUGCCCAGUUGUUAGAGAAGCAAGAUGGGGAAGACCUGUUCUUGAACCAAUCAAGUAUCUCCCUUCUUUGUUCAUAAGCUAACUGCUCCCAGGGAUUCAAUUCUUCUCCAUUUGAGGCUUUAUUUGGGAGACAUUGUUUUAAUACAGUCACUCACGCACUUUUAUCCUUGGCAAGACUUUUUUUUCCUCUAAUAGAGGAGCAGAAGGAAGGGGGU
ensembl:lncRNA